UACGUAGGGGGCUAGCGUUGUCCGGAUUUAUUGGGCGUAAAGAGCGUGUAGGCGGCCAUGUAGGUCCGGUGUGAAAACUCGAGGCUUAACCUCGAGAUGUCAUCGGAAACCAUUUGGCUAGAGUCCGGAAGAGGAGAGUGGAAUUCCUGGUGUAGCGGUGAAAUGCGCAGAUAUCAGGAAGAACACCAAUGGCGAAAAGCAGCUCUCUGGGGACGGUACUGACGCUGAGACGCGAAAGCGUGGGGAGCGAACAGG
rnacentral:rRNA from 1 species